rnacentral:lncRNA from 1 species
UAUCGCUGGCUUCACCAUCAAUCAUGUUUCUCUCGUCUGAUGGGUUCUCGACCUUUCUCUCUUCCUCUGAACUUAAUGCAGAAGACAAAUGCUCUAGUUGAUCCUUUGGUUCUUUUUCCUCCAAGACACCAGUGGCCACAUUAUCCUCACUAUGGUCGUUUGCAUUACCAACUUCGUCCCCCAUCUGUGUGAGCUCCUUAGUUUCAACUAGCUUCAUAGACAAAUCCUCUUGCUGAACCGAAAUGGUCUUAUCGCUGGCCUCACCAUCAAUCAUGUUUCUUUCGUCGGAUGGUUUCUCGGCUUUGGCAUCUUCCUCUGAACAUAAUGCUGAAGACAUAUGCUCUAGUUGAUCCUUUGAUUCUUCUUUUUCCUCCAAGACACCAAUGGCCACAUUAUCUUCAGAAUGAUCGUUUGCACUACCACUUUCCCCCAUAUGUGUGGGCUCCUCAGUGUCAACUAGAUUCCUCGACAAAUCCUCUGGUCGAACCAAAAUGGUCAUAUCGCCGGCUUCACCAUCAAUCAUGUUUCUUUCGUGAGAUGGGUUCUCGGCCUUGGUCUCUUCCUCGGAACUUAAUGCUGAAGAC